GCAUGACAGACCCAACCCAGGUAUUUCUCCAGAAGAUCAGAACUUCCUGCCCGAGGGAGAGAAGGUGCAGGCUGGGGAACAGAAGUGCUUUCUCUGCCCGCCUGGGCUGUCUUCAAGGAGAGCUGGAGACCGAGACCGCUCUCCUCUUUCUGGUUCCCCUGCUCCCUCAGCAGUUCCAUCCCCAGCCUGCCACGGAAAAGUGUUCCGGCUUGGAUCUGGAAUGUUCUCCCAGAGGCUCAAGGGUUGAAAGUUUGGUCUCCCGCUGGUGGUGCUACUGGGAGAACUGGGAGGUGGAAGAAAGAGCCACAGCACUGGAAAAGAGAAGGAAACGGAUGUCCCUAAGAGACUCCAGAAAGCAAGAGAGACUUCCCGACACCUUGGAUUUAGCUCAUAGAAACUCACAUUAGA